GACGAACGCUGGCGGCGUGCUUAACACAUGCAAGUCGAACGGAAAGGCCCUGCUUUUGUGGGGUGCUCGAGUGGCGAACGGGUGAGUAACACGUGAGUAACCUGCCCUUGACUUUGGGAUAACUUCAGGAAACUGGGGCUAAUACCGGAUAGGAGCUCCUGCUGCAUGGUGGGGGUUGGAAAGUUUCGGCGGUUGGGGAUGGACUCGCGGCUUAUCAGCUUGUUGGUGGGGUAGUGGCUUACCAAGGCUUUGACGGGUAGCCGGCCUGAGAGGGUGACCGGCCACAUUGGGACUGAGAUACGGCCCAGACUCCUACGGGAGGCAGCAGUGGGGAAUAUUGCACAAUGGGCGGAAGCCUGAUGCAGCAACGCCGCGUGCGGGAUGACGGCCUUCGGGUUGUAAACCGCUUUCGCCUGUGACGAAGCGUGAGUGACGGUAAUGGGUAAAGAAGCGCCGGCUAACUACGGGC
rnacentral:rRNA from 1 species